CCUACAGGUGGCUGCAGUGGGGAAUAUUGGACAAUGGGGGGAACCCUGAUCCAGCCAUGCCGCGUGUGUGAAGAAGGCCCUCGGGUUGUAAAGCACUUUCAGUGAGGAAGAACGCCUGGUGGUUAAUACCCAUCAGGAAAGACAUCACUCACAGAAGAAGCACCGGCUAACUCCGUGCCAGCAGCCGCGGUAAUACGGAGGGUGCGAGCGUUAAUCGGAAUUACUGGGCGUAAAGCGCGCGUAGGUGGCUUGAUAAGCCGGUUGUGAAAGCCCCGGGCUCAACCUGGGAACGGCAUCCGGAACUGUCAAGCUAGAGUGCAGGAGAGGAAGGUAGAAUUCCCGGUGUAGCGGUGAAAUGCGUAGAGAUCGGGAGGAAUACCAGUGGCGAAGGCGGCCUUCUGGACUGACACUGACACUGAGGUGCGAAAGCGUGGGUAGCAAACAGGAUUAGAUACCGAGUAGUC
rnacentral:rRNA from 1 species